UACGUAGGGUGCGAGCGUUGUCCGGAAUUAUUGGGCGUAAAGAGCUUGUAGGCGGUCUGUCGCGUCUGCUGUGAAAAUCCGGGGCUCAACCCCGGACUUGCAGUGGGUACGGGCAGACUAGAGUGUGGUAGGGGAGACUGGAAUUCCUGGUGUAGCGGUGAAAUGCGCAGAUACCAGGAGGAACACCGAUGGCGAAGGCAGGUCUCUGGGCCACUACUGAUGCUGAGAAGCGAAAGCAUGGGGAGCGAACAGG
rnacentral:rRNA from 1 species